rnacentral:rRNA from 1 species
AGCACCACAACAGGUGGAGCCUGCGGUUUAAUCGGACUCAACGCCGGGAAACUCACCAGAUAAGACAGCUGAAUGAUAGUCGGGCUGAAGACUCUACUUGACUAGCUGAGAGGAGGUGCAUGGCCGUCGUCAGUUCGUACUGUGAAGCAUCCUGUUAAGUCAGGCAACGAGCGAGACCCACGCCAACAGUUGCCAGCUCGUCCUCCGGGAUGGUGGGGACACUGUUGGGACCGCCUCUGCUAAAGAGGAGGAAGGAAUGGGCAACGGUAGGUCAGCAUGCCCCGAAUUAUCUGGGCUACACGCGGGCUACAAUGGGUGGGACAAUGGGUAUCGACACCGAAAGGUGAAGGCAAUCUCCUAAACCCAUCCGUAGUUCGGAUUGUGGGCUGCAACUCGCCCACAUGAAGCUGGGAUCUGUAGUAAUCGUGUCUCAAAAUGGCACGGUGAAUAUGUCCCUGCUCCUU